rnacentral:rRNA from 1 species
AGCGAACGCUGGCGGCAGGCUUAACACAUGCAAGUCGAACGCACUCUUCGGAGUGAGUGGCAGACGGGUGAGUAACACGUGGGAACGUGCCCUUCAGUUCGGAAUAACCCAGGGAAACUUGGGCUAAUACCGGAUACGCCCUUCGGGGGAAAGAUUUAUCGCUGAAGGAUCGGCCCGCGUCUGAUUAGCUAGUUGGUGGGGUAAUGGCCUACCAAGGCGACGAUCAGUAGCUGGUCUGAGAGGAUGAUCGGCCAUACUGGGACUGAGACACGGCCCAGACUCCUACGGGAGGCAGCAGUGGGGAAUAUUGGACAAUGGGCGAAAGCCUGAUCCAGCCAUGCCGCGUGAGUGAUGAAGGCCUUAGGGUUGUAAAGCUCUUUUAUCCGGGAAGAUAAUGACUGUACCGGAAGAAUAAGCCCCGGCUAACUUCGUGCCAGCCGCCGCGGUAAUAC